rnacentral:rRNA from 1 species
CCCGAGGAAACUCGGAUUAAUACCUGAUAUUCUUUAAAUUUCGCAUGAAAUUAAAAGGAAAGGUCAGCCGAACUAAGAUGAGCUCGCGUUCUAUCAGCUAGUUGGUGAGGUAAAAGCUCACCAAGGCAACGACGGAUAGCUGGUCUGAGAGGACGAUCAGCCACACUGGGACUGAGACACGGCCCAGACUCCUACAGGAGGCUGCAGCAGGGAAUAUUGCGCAAUGAGCGAAAGCUUGACGCAUCGACACCGCGUGUGGGAUGACAGAUCUAGGUUUGUAAACCACUUUCAGGAGGGAAGAAAAUGACCGUACCUCCACAAGAAGCCCCGGCCAACUACGUGCCAGCAGCCGCGGGAAUACGUAGGGGGCGAGCGUUGUCCGGAUUUAUUGGGCGUAAAGAGCUCAUAUGCGGUUCAACAAGUCGGUCGUAAAAGUUCAGGGCUCAACCCUGAAAUGUCAAUCGAUACUGUUGUGACUAGGAUACGGUAGAGGUGAGUGGAAUUCC